ACGGCAGCGCGGGGCAACCUGGCGGCGAGUGGCGAACGGGUGAGUAAUAUAUCGGAACGUACCCUGGAGUGGGGGAUAACGUAGCGAAAGUUACGCUAAUACCGCAUACGAUCUAAGGAUGAAAGUGGGGGAUCGCAAGACCUCAUGCUCCUGGAGCGGCCGAUAUCUGAUUAGCUAGUUGGUGGGGUAAAGGCCUACCAAGGCAUCGAUCAGUAGCUGGUCUGAGAGGACGACCAGCCACACUGGAACUGAGACACGGUCCAGACUCCUACGGGAGGCAGCAGUGGGGAAUUUUGGACAAUGGGCGAAAGCCUGAUCCAGCAAUGCCGCGUGAGUGAAGAAGGCCUUCGGGUUGUAAAGCUCUUUUGUCAGGGAAGAAACGGUGAGUUCUAAUACAGCUUGCUAAUGACGGUACCUGAAGAAUAAGCACCGGCUAACUACGUGCCAGCAGCCGCGGUAAU
rnacentral:rRNA from 1 species